UCUCCCUGACUCCUUGAGAGUCCUGAAGGAACGUUGAAGACGACGACGUUGAUAGGCCGGGUGUGUAAGCGCAGCGAUGCGUUGAGCUAACCGGUACUAAUGAACCGUGAGGCUUAACCUUACAACGCCGAAGUGUUUUG
rnacentral:rRNA from 1 species